AUGAACGCUGGCGGCGUGCCUUAGGCAUGCAAGUCGAACGGGGUAGUAGCAAUACUACUCAGUGGCAGACGGGUGAGUAACGCGUAGGAAUCUAUCUCUAGGUGGAGCAUAGCUCUCCGAAAGGAAAGGUAAUUCUCCAUAGUUCCCGCAAGGGUAAAGGACUUAACGGUCCGCCAAGAGAGGAGCCUGCGUCCUAUCAGCUAGUUGGUGGGGUAAUGGCCUACCAAGGCAAUGACGGGUAGCUGGACUGAGAGGUCGAUCAGCCACAACUGCACUGAGACACGGGCAGUACAUCUACGGAUGGCAGCAACCAGGAAUAUUGCGCGAUGGACGAAAGUCUGACGCAGCGACGCCGCGUGGAGGAAGAAGGCCUUCGGGUUGUAAACUCCUUUUGCCAAGCCGUUCACAGCUUGGAGAAUAAGCCUCUACUAACUACGUGCCAGAAGUCUCGGUAAUACGUAGGAGGCGAGCGUUAUCUGGAAUCACUGGGCGUAAAGUGUGCGUAGGCGUUCUAUAAAGUCUUCACUUAAAGACCAAGGCUUACCCUUGGAAGUGGUGGGGAUACUCAUAGAAUUGAGGAUUGGUCGGGAAGCUGGAACAGUUAGUGUAGCAGUGAAAUGCGUUGAUAUUAACUGGAACACCAAGGGCGAAGGCAGGCUUCUGAACUUUUCCUGACGCUGAGGCACGAAAGCUAGGGUAGCGAAACAGAUUAGAUACCUGUGUAGUCCUAGCCGUAAACGAUGUCCGCUAACUCUUCGUUUCACGAGGGUAAUCAACCAGAUUGGUUAUUCUUGUGAAGCGAGGGGUUCAAGCUAACGCAUUAAGCGGACCGCCUGGGGAGUACGACCGCAAGGUUAAAACUCAAAGGAAUUGACGGGGACCCGCACAACUGGUGGAGCGUGUGGUUUAAUUCGAGACGAAGCGAAAAACCUUACCAAGGCUUGACAUGCUAACGUUCUAUCCCGUAGAAAUAUGGGAAAUGCGCAAGCAGGUUAGCACAGGUGCUGCAUGGCUGUCGUCAGCUCGUGCCGUGAGGUGUUCCCUUAAGUGGGGAAACGAGCGCAACCCCCGCCUAAUGUUACAUAUUCAUUAGGGACAGCUCCGACUAUAUCGGGGAGGAAGGAGGGGAAGACGUCAAGUCAGCACGGCCCUUAUGCCUUGGGUUACACACACCCUACAAUGGCGAAAAACAAUGAGCAGCAAGCUAGCAAUAGCAAGCUAAUCUCACAAAUUUCGCCUCAGUUCAGAUUGGGGGCUGCAACCCGCCCCCAUGAAGGCGGAAUCAGUAGUAAUCGCGGAUCAGAAGGCCGCGGUGAAUACGUUCUCGGGUCUUGUACACACCGCCCGUCAAGGCAGCAAAGUCGGGAGUGGAUGAAGCAUCUCGCAAGAGGUUCGAGUCCAAGCUUGGCGAUGAAGCUU
rnacentral:rRNA from 1 species